UACGAAGGGGGCUAGCGUUGCUCGGAAUCACUGGGCGUAAAGGGUGCGUAGGCGGGUCUUAAGUCAGGGGUGAAAUCCUGGAGCUCAACUCCAGAACUGCCUCUGAUACUGAGGAUCUUGAGUUCGGGAGAGGUGAGUGGAACUGCGAGUGUAGAGGUGAAAUUCGUAGAUAUUCGCAAGAACACCAGUGGCGAAGGCGGCUCACUGGGCCCGAUACUGACGCUGAGGC
rnacentral:rRNA from 1 species